rnacentral:lncRNA from 1 species
CUUCAAACAUGUGGAUGUUUUCUUGGUUUUGUGCCAUUUUUAUUAUUUUGGUUAUUGCUAGUAUGGAUGCAGUAGCCAAGACCACACCAUAUACCAAAUUCACAAAGAAAUCUAAGGGACAAGAGAUGCCGAAAGGCCCAAAACCGUCCAGUGGCCUACCUCCAGAAGAAGGAGCCCCCUUCAGAGAAGCGGCUGAAAGGGCAGAGCCAACCCCUGACCCCUUAGUCUUCGAUUCUACCUUUGAUGCUGCCACUCUCUUCCCCUCCAAAAACCUCACUCUUGACACCGCUGAUUUCUUCUUGGAUUGCUGUGAUUGUUGUUCAUCUGGACCAGGGCAAAAGGGAGAACCGGGACAGACUGGAAAGCCAGGUUUUAAGGGAGAGACUGGUGAUAUAGGGAUCCCAGGGUCACCAGGAAUUGUUGGACCCCAAGGUCCAAAAGGCCAGAAAGGAGAGAAAGGACUCAAGGGAGAACGCGGAGACCAAGGAGCAAGUGGAGUUCCAGGUUACCCAGGAAAGCCUGGAGAACCAGGUGGAAUUGGUCCUAAGGGGGACACAGGAAACACUGGCCCAACAGGAGUGAAAGGACAAAAAGGCUUGAAGGGGGACACGUGUGCCAAUGGUACCAAAGGAGACAAAGGAGACAGAGGGCCUAUAGGAGCACCCGGCUUGAAUGGAGAGCCUGGCGCCAAGGGAGAGAAGGGCGAAGUGGGGGACAAGGGCUACUGUGGAGAUUCUGGGGAGAGGGGAGGAAAGGGAGAAAAAGGUGAGGAGGGCAUGAAAGGAGAGAAAGGCAGCAAAGGAGAUAAUGGAAUGGAAGGGAAAAGUGGCUCAGAUGGCCUGCCUGGGGUGCCAGGUGAUCCAGGAGUCAAAGGAGAAAAGGGAGAGUUGGGUCCUCCUGGUCCCGUGGGACCUGUGGGACCCAAGGGCGAGCUGGGGAGCAAAGGGGUCAGGGGGUCGAUCGGGAAGAAGGGUUCUCGGGGCCUCAAGGGCUCCAAGGGGGAGGGGGCCAGGGCCCCACGGUCGGCUUUCAGUGCUGCUUUAUCCAAGCCCUUCCCUCCUCCCAAUGCCCCUAUCAAGUUUGACAAGGUUCUCUAUAAUGACCAAGGGAAUUAUAGCCCUGUCACUGGGAAAUUUAACUGUAGCAUUCCUGGGGCCUAUGUUUUCUCCUACCACAUCACCGUGAGGGGCCGACCUGCUCGGAUCAGCCUGGUGGCCUGGAACAGGAAGCAGUUCAAGUCCAGAGAGACGCUCUCUGGCCAUGAAAUAGACCAGACCUCUCUCUUCAUCAUCCUGAAAUUAAGAGCAGGGGACCAAGUCUGGCUGGAAGUUUCAAAGGAUUGGAAUGGGGUGUAUGUCAGCGCUGAGGAUGACAGCAUUUUUACUGGGUUCCUUUUGUACCCAGAUGAAAACCCUGGCAUUUCACCAUGA